GCCUGGUUCUAGCCCAAGCACAGUCUCCAGCUUAAGGAAUGACCUUAAGCAAGCACUUCUUCCCUCAGGGCAACAUUUAAAAAAAUAAGAAGAUUGGAUUGAUCAACAUUUUACUGCCUGUAUUUCACAGGACAUUCUCCUUUUAAUAUAUUUGCUUGAACCUUCUUGAAAACAGGACUCCAUGGACAAAUAAGGUCUAACACCAGCAAUAUUUACACACCGAAGGCACGAGUAUGGCCAUUUGGGGGGCUGUGAUAUUGUUAUUGAGGAGUUUUCCAGAGAUAACUAGACAAGAGCUAGAAAACAAUGGAAGGAACUUUAGAAGCUCACAGGUGUGGAAAGGGAAGAUCUCAGUUUCAAUGGAGCAUUGGAUCUAUACAAGUCAAGAGGCAAAAAGUGGGCUUUGCUGAAGACUGAUGCUAAAGCUGAAUUCUGGACAAUGAGUAGCAAUGAGCCAUGUAAAGAAAAGGAAGUGAGUAGGUCCUGAGGCAAAACAGAGUUUGCCACGUUUGAGGAACUGUGAGAGAACUGUUGUUCCCAGUGGGAGAACACUAAGAAUGAAAUUGGCUCAAAAUGAGGCUGGAGAUGUAGGCUUAGAUUACAUAGGUUGGCCAGCAUAGGAAUUUUAGAUUUCAUUUUAAAAAUCAAUGGGGAAUCAUUAAAUUGCUUUAAGUUAGAGAGGAGGAAUAGCUGCAGAGCAAAUUUCCAUUUUUUAAAGAUUAUUUUAUGGGUAAGACUUCCAGAAUAGCCACCACCAUCCCCCCAUCACCACAUAACCCCCCCCACCACCUCCCCCCACCAUACUCCCACAUUCCCC
rnacentral:lncRNA from 10 species